rnacentral:rRNA from 1 species
GUGAACGCUGGCGGUAGGCCUAACACCUGCAAGUCGAACGGCAGCACCGUAAGAGCUUGCUCUUACGGGUGGCGAGUGGCGGACGGGUGAGGAAUACAUCGGAAUCUACUUUUUCGUGGGGGAUAACGUAGGGAAACUUACGCUAAUACCGCAUACGACCUACGGGUGAAAGCAGGGGAUCUUCGGACCUUGCGCGAUUGAAUGAGCCGAUGUCGGAUUAGCUAGUUGGCGGGGUAAAGGCCCACCAAGGCGACGAUCCGUAGCUGGUCUGAGAGGAUGAUCAGCCACACUGGAACUGAGACACGGUCCAGACUCCUACGGGAGGCAGCAGUGGGGAAUAUUGGACAAUGGGCGCAAGCCUGAUCCAGCCAUACCGCGUGGGUGAAGAAGGCCUUCGGGUUGUAAAGCCCUUUUGUUGGGAAAGAAAAGCAGCAGGUUAAUACCCCGCUGUUCUGACGGUACCCAAAGAAUAAGCACCGGCUAACUUCGUG